AGCGGAGGAAAAGAAACUAACAAGGAUUCCCCUAGUAACGGCGAGUGAACCGGGAAGAGCUCAAAUUUGUAAUCUGGCGUCCUUCGGGCGUCCGAGUUGUAAUCUAUAGAGGCGUUUUCCGCGCCGGACCGCGUCCAAGUCCCUUGGAACAGGGUAUCAAAGAGGGUGACAAUCCCGUGCUUGACGCGACGACCGGUGCUAUGUGAUACGUUCUCAACGAGUCGAGUUGUUUGGGAAUGCAGCUCAAAACGGGUGGUAAAUUCCAUCUAAAGCUAAAUAUUGGCGAGAGACCGAUAGCGAACAAGUACCGUGAGGGAAAGAUGAAAAGCACUUUGGAAAGAGAGUUAAACAGUACGUGAAAUUGUUGAAAGGGAAACGAUUGAAGUCAGUCGUGUGGAGGGUAUUCAGCCGUCUCUGACGGUGUACUUGCCCUUCACGGGUCAACAUCAGUUUUGACCGGUGGAAAAAGGUGGUGGGAAUGUGGCACCUCCGGGUGUGUUAUAGCCUGCUAUUGUAUACACCGGUCGAGACUGAGGCAUGCAGCUCGCCUUUAUGGCCGGGGUUCGCCCACGUCCGAGCUUAGGAUGUUGACAUAAUGGCUUUAAACGACCCGUCUUGA
rnacentral:rRNA from 1 species